rnacentral:rRNA from 1 species
UAGGGAAUCUUCCGCAAUGGGCGAAAGCAUGACGGAGCAACGCCGCGUGAGUGAUGAAGGUCUUCGGAUCGUAAAACUCUGUUAUUAGGGAAGAACAAAUGUGUAAGUAACUAUGCACGUCUUGACGGUACCUAAUCAGAAAGCCACGGCUAACUACGUGCCAGCAGCCGCGGUAAUACGUAGGUGGCAAGCGUUAUCCGGAAUUAUUGGGCGUAAAGCGCGCGUAGGCGGUUUUUUAAGUCUGAUGUGAAAGCCCACGGCUCAACCGUGGAGGGUCAUUGGAAACUGGAAAACUUGAGUGCAGAAGAGGAAAGUGGAAUUCCAUGUGUAGCGGUGAAAUGCGCAGAGAUAUGGAGGAACACCAGUGGCGAAGGCGACUUUCUGGUCUGUAACUGACGCUGAUGUGCGAAAGCGUGGGGAUCAAACAGG